rnacentral:rRNA from 1 species
CCUACGGGAGGCAGCAGUGAGGAAUAUUGGUCAAUGGACGCAAGUCUGAACCAGCCAUGCCGCGUGCAGGAAGACGGCUCUAUGAGUUGUAAACUGCUUUUGUACGAGGGUAAACGCAGAUACGCGUAUCUGUCUGAAAGUAUCGUACGAAUAAGGAUCGGCUAACUCCGUGCCAGCAGCCGCGGUAAUACGGAGGAUUCAAGCGUUAUCCGGAUUUAUUGGGUUUAAAGGGUGCGUAGGCGGUCGGAUAAGUUAGAGGUGAAAUCCCGAGGCUCAACUUCGGAAUUGCCUCUGAUAGUGUUCAGCUAGAGAGUAGUUGCGGUAGGCGGAAUGUAUGGUGUAGCGGUGAAAUGCUUAGAGAUCAUACAGAACACCGAUUGCGAAGGCAGCUUACCAAGCUACUUCUGACGUUGAGGCACGAAAGCGUGGGGAGCAAACAGGAUUAGAUACCCCGGUAGUC